rnacentral:lncRNA from 1 species
AUCAGAAUGUGCGAGUGUGAGAAAAUACUGAAACGAGGACAAGAAAAUCAGGAACGAGGCGCUUGUCCCCGGAUGAGUCCCCCGCGGAUCCCGGUGAGCAGAGCCUUUGCUGGGAGAACUGUGGGGACUGGUGACCCACAGGUGAGCCGCACGGAGCGCGCAGCUGGUUAGCUUAUGCAACUGAUAAAUGCGCCGAACUUAGCCUGAUGAUAACAACCUGGAUGUCAGGUGGAGUGAGGAGAAGGCAUCAAGGAGUCUCACAGGCCAGCCUCACAAAGCCAAAUCCACCAAGAAAGGGGGAAGCUGCCUCUCAGGCCAGUUUCCAGCUGUGCUCCUGAAGCCUGAGGCACUCUGUGCAAGCGCCUGUGGAUUGAUUGCCUUCGCCAGGAAAGGGAUGGCAGGGUUUCCAGAGUCCAGCCUCGUUUCGAAAGCAGCUCUACUUGUAUCUGUUUGAUAGUCUUUGCUGUACGAUUUCCCUUAAAGCAAGAAUUCUAGUCUUGAAACCCACUGCUGUAGUGUCUAUCAAUGUUUUAAAUGUGCAUGUUCUUCUGAGGAAUUCUAUUUUGAGGAAUCUAUUAUACAGCAAUAUUGUUAAAUACACAAAGAUAUAUAUGUGAGGGUUGCUCUGUGAUAUUUUUGGUAAUAGUAAAAAAAAAAAGAAACCACCACAGUGUUAAUUAAUUAAAUAUCACACUAUAUGUGGAGGUCUGUGUAUAGAGGACUAAGUCAUUACAAUAGAGUGCAGCACAUCUGGAUUAGUUCAUUUAACCAUCCAGUAGCCAGUGACUCCUCUUUAUCAUG